UGAAACUUCUUGAAAAUCAAUGUUCCGUUGCAAUCUGUUGGAGAUUCUGAGAUGCUGGUACCGUAGGUUUGGAUUCCGGUAUUUGCUCAUUGUAAUUAAGGUUGUUAUUGAACCACCGGAGCUUCGGGAAGUGCCGGAGCUGCCGCCUGAUCGGUUCAGAGAGUCACUGCUGCUUUGUUUCUCGUGAAAAGUGUUGUUGCCGCGAUUCUUGAUGCCGCUGUUGAUAUUGUCUGAAAAUAAACAAGGUUGCUGCCGCUGCUGUAAAAUUGAAAAUAAACAAAAGAGGAAUUGAUGAGUCUAACUACUGAGCUUUGACUAAAUCGAGGUAGGGGUUUUUCUUAAAAUCUAAUUUACAUUACAGAGUUGUGAUAAAUAGAUAUUGAUGCAAAGAGAUAUAUUUCUGUGAUUACAUUUGUCUUAUGGAUGUGAUGGUUUGUUGGACUGAAUUAUUGGGUGUUUGAUUGCUUGAGUGAAGUACGGUUGUUGAUAAGAAAUGGAUUUGGAAAGUUAUUUACUUG